GCCAGACUCCUACGGGAGGCAGCAGUGGGGAAUAUUGCACAAUGGGCGAAAGCCUGAUGCAGCAACGCCGCGUGAAGGAAGAAGGCCUUCGGGUCGUAAACUUCUGUCCUUGGGGAAGAAGAACUGACGGUACCCAAGGAGGAAGCCCCGGCUAACUACGUGCCAGCAGCCGCGGUAAUACGUAGGGGGCAAGCGUUGUCCGGAAUUACUGGGCGUAAAGGGCGCGUAGGUGGGCGCUUAAGUCAGGUGUGAAAACUCCGGGCUCAACCUGGAGACUGCACUUGAAACUGGGUGUCUUGAGGGCAGGAGAGGAAAGUGGAAUUCCUAGUGUAGCGGUGAAAUGCGUAGAUAUUAGGAGGAACACCAGUGGCGAAGGCGACUUUCUGGACUGUACCUGACGCUGAGGCGCGAAAGCGUGGGUAGCGAACGGGAUUAGAUACCCGAGUA
rnacentral:rRNA from 1 species